GUCCAGGGGUCGCCAGGGAAGAGGUGAGCUCCUCCUCUGUGCCCCCAUCUUGGGUGAAGGGUUUCCCCCACAGUUCUGCGGUUGUUAAUCUUUAAUAGCCUGAUGAUUAAUUAAUUACCAAGACCCACGGGGGCUCAGUUGAGUGUUCCUGGUGCCUGUGACCAGGGCACCCUCUCCUCAGCCCCUGUCCCCCCCGUGCGAGCUGGGAGACAAUGGCCAGGCCCACCAGACUCCCGGACACAGAGGGGGGCAUCAUGGUCACUGCUGUGGGCAAACUGUGCUCUGUCCUGGGCGCUGGCCACAGCACAGCCUUCAGGGGACAGGGACAGGGCAAGGGCCGCCAGAGGAAGGAAGACAGAAGCCCAGAGGCCAGGCUGGGCGAGGAGGGCCUCUGGGGCCUCCUCCCAGCCUCCGAUACAUGGGGUCUCUUUGCACUCUGCGGGGCGCCCUGGGGCCUUUGUGUCCUCUGCGUCCAGCAUCGUGCUGGCUCUGGGGCGAGCUGGGGCCAGCCGGCGUCUGCUGACUGGACAGGACGGGCCCAGGCUGGGUUCUGAGCCUUCCGCCCCUGCACAGCCCGAGCCUCAGUUUCCCUCUCUACCUCACUGUCCAUGCUUACCUCACAGGGUAAACAGGGAAGAACGACUCUCUAAUGGAAACAGCGGGGGGCGGCAGCUGCGGGGAGUGGAGGAGAUUUGGGGCCAGGCUUCUUGCUGAGAAGCAGUAGGAUAGGUCACGUGGCUCCUAAUUCAGGAGGUGGCCUUGGCUAAAUCCUUUCUUCUCUUUCAGCCUCAGUUCCCCCACCUGUAAAAUCAGGGGCUGGGAUCAGUGAAUGCCCAGGACCCUGGGGGCACCUGUAAUGGGUGAGCGGGUCAUUGGUGCCACGCAGAGGCCCCCAGCCCACGGCUCCCCUCCCCUCUCCAUCCCCACCACACCCCAGGGUGCUCAGCUCAUACUCCCGGGCAGGUGUGGGCUGUGCAUGUCAGCCGGUCAUCUCUCCAGGAUCACAGGAAGGCUCCUUAUGGGGAGGUCUGAGGACCUUGGGCAGCUUCCAGCCUGGUCAGCCUGGGCAGGUGCGAGCAACGUCAGCCCUGCUCGUGUUGACCAUUUUUGCCUCAUGGCUGAGGGGACGGAGCCUCCCAGAAAACCUGAGACUCUGACCCUGGGGGGUAAGGGAUCUUUGAAGACAUCUGGUCUUCUGGGAGUUGAGAAUUUUUAAAAAUUGAAAUGAAAUAACACCAGUGAUACCUAAAUCCAUAAACAUGCUUUCCUUGCAGGAAGGCACAUCUACCUUCCCACCCGUAGGGUCGAACAGUGUCCCCCAAAUCCAUGUUCUCCCAGAACCUCAGAAUGUGACCUCGUUUGGAAUAAAGGGUUUUGCAGAUGUAGUUAGAAUAAGGAUCUCGAAAUAAGAUCAUGCUGGAAUUGGGCGGAUCCUAAAUGCAAGGAGAGCAUCCUUCUAAGAGAAAGGAGAGCGAGAGUUGAAAACAGAGCCGCAGGAGAGAAGCCAUGUGCGCAUGUGCGACAGAGCCGCAGGAGAGAAGCCAUGUGCGCAUGUGCGACAGAGGCAGAGACUGGAGUGACGCAGCCGCGAGCCAAGGAACGCCGGGAGCCCCGGGGAGCUGGACAAGGCAGGGACACAGUCUCGCCCGGAGCCUUCGGACUGAGUGCGGCUCUGAUUUGACUUAGCACUUGUGGCCUCCAGGACGGAGUGGUGCUUUUAAACCUUAAAUAGGCGCACACCCCACGCCAUGCUGUCAAGGGCUCUCAGCCCCCCGCCACGUGUAUCUGGGAGAAGCUCCGAGGUUCUUGCUACAGUGACGUCAUCCUUUCUAACAGCUGCAGGUGCUAGAAAAUCACUCACUCCAGGCUUCAUUGCAACAGACAGAUCCUGCACUGCUUGUUCCUUUGGGGGCCUCAUCCUCCAGGAAGCCGUCCCUGACCUCCCAGGCUGAGCUGGCACCCCUCUGCAGCCCCCAUUCUACCCUCUGCUGCAGCGUGCGCCCCACUGUGCGGUCACGGCCUGUUUAUGGCCUCAGGCUGCAGCUCCCUGAGGGCAUUGUUAGAAGGACCAGAAAGCAGUUGAAGUGUGCAAAGUGAGGACAAGGUGGGUGCGCCCAUAGGUGGGUUCCUGGGGAUGCUUACGUAGCCGAGUGAUCCUCAGCCGGCCUGUGCACCCUGACUGUGCACUUGAGCCUCUGUGUGUUCUGGCGGGCCUGUACGAGGUGCGUGUGUGCAUGUCUGUGCAUGGAGCCAUGUGCAUGGCGCGUCCAUGUGCGAGUGUGCGUGUGCUCCUGGGGGCGGUCUGCAGCAAGGAAAGUCUUGCAGCAGCUGCUACAUCCGGGUCCCACCAGCCCUCACGGGGGAACUAAAAAUAGCCUGUGCCCAGCCCUGACCCAGCGGGCAGGGGGCCGAGGGGCAGCCCCGCAGGGCACCCCGGCCGGGCUGUUGCCCUCCUCCCUCCUGGGGCCACCGCCCUGCCUGCGGCCCAGUCUCGGGCUCCCAUGAGCUCAUGCCGGCCCUGGCCAGCAGGGCGGGGAGGGCAGCCCAGGGCUGAGGCCCUGCCCACGGCCGGCGCUGGACACAGGCAAGGCCUGAUAAGGUCAAGCUGGAGUGGGGUCCGCCCCUCCUCCAGCCUGGCCGCGGGCGGACGUGAGUCAGCACAGGGGGCAUCGGGCAGCCCGGCUGACGCUGCUGGCAGCAGGGGAGGCCGGGGGUGGGCCGCCCGGGCAGGGCAGGGACUGGCCAGGAGGAAUCACCUGCUGCCUCGGCCAAGCCCUGACCUCAGUCCCCACCUUGAGGACCCCACCUCCACUUCCGCCGGGAAAGCCCCUCUCAGAGGCUCCCCCGGGCUUCCUGCCCUGGUCUGGGAUCACCCCUGGCCUUGGGAGGGCUGUCGCCCACCGGGCCCCAGGGCGUCCACACGCCCCUGCCCCAAGACAUCCUCUCGGACCCCCCAGCUGGCCACGACAGACCCUGGCUGUGGAGCUGAGAAAGGGGGGCACCUGGGAGGAGCAGGGACGCUCUGAGAAGCUGGCCCCUGAGCUCUGAGCCAGCUUCCAUAACUUCUGCUCGUAUGACUCAGUUUCCUCAUCUGUAGAAUGGGCUUAUGACUGCCUGCCCUCACAGAGUUGUCACGAGGAUUGAAGGGCUCUUGGCACAUAGUAGGCCUCAUCCGGGCUAGCUCCCCUCCCACAUCCUCUCUAGCUCCCAGGGAGCUGGCCCCAGACCCCAGGACACCUGCAAAUCCCCCUUCACUUCCCAGGCUCAGAGAAUGACAGGAGGGGGACAACCGAAAAAAGCAAAAAACUGAUAUACUUGCUGAAGUGACCAACAAUCCAAACACGUCAAGGGGUGUGGAGUGAGUGGUCCCCUCCCACGCCCUCCCCCGUCCCUUUCUAGAAUAUUCUAGAGAUGGCCUAUGCAGACACAUACAAAGACAGAUUUAUAUCCUCUUCUCCACCUUAAACACACACCGCGGACGGCAGAGUUCCCUCCUGCACCCGGAGGAGGGCCUGUGUCCAUGCAUGCAGAGCCCCCUCGUUCUCAUCUGUGGUGUGUGUCCCAUCAUUACUUAGCCAGACUGUGGCCGGAAGUGCUAUUUAUUUGUCUGUUUGUUAAGACAAGGGAGCAGCUUCCCGGAAGGGUCCCUCCUCGAGUCUGCGGAGGGAGACCUGGGUCUGAGUCAGGUCUGGACGUCCCACUCAAGGGACCUGGCACAUCUUGCCUCAGUUUCCCACCUGUGAGAUGGUGGCCGCAUCCGUCAAUGAGACCGUGUUGCUACCUGCUGGCCCACAGGCUGUAUCCUGUUUAUGGAUGUGUUCUGCUCCUCAAACUUUUCCAAAAUCUGGAGAUUUCACAUUAAAAUCCAGACUUCUGGAUUCUCUUGAAAAAUUAAAUGUCUGGCAACAGCUGGCUAGAGUCAAGGAGCAGCUGCCCUCUCCGGACCGGGCGAGGGUGCUCUGCUUGGCCCAGCCCCCACUACUCUGCAUUGCUCCUCCUCAGGAGCAUCUGUGAUGCUCGCUCAGAGUUGUGCAGACACAGUGAGGGCUCUGAGCGCAGGGUCCCCAGCGGCCAGCGCAGGCCCAGUUUCACCCUCUUGCUGGAUCCUCAGGGUGUCUGGGACUCAGUAGCCAGAGCCGCUGCUGGUCCUGGAACCCAGGGCCGAGCAAGAGGCUCCAGAGUGUCCUCCUGCCAGACGGGAAGCGGAAGUGCCAUGUCCGGGAUGGGCCCUGGGUCUGGGCUCCCAGCCAGGCAGCCGUGUCCUGGGAGGCAGGAGCCGAGACUUCUUCCCUCUGCUGGAGCCGGAAGCUGGGCUCCAGGCACCUGGAGUUCUCAUCUCCUGGUCCCCAGGAUGCGGAUUCCGGCACACGACCCCCACGCCUUCCUCUUCCCCACCUACGUUUGGCAGCCACAUCCUGUAGCGGUGGGUGGGGCCCAAACAGGAGGCAGGGAUGUGGGUGGAAUCCCGGGAGACCUGAGGGGCAUCCUUUCUCAAGGGCAGUUGAAAUCUCUUCUUGGCCCCAGGGUGCCUUGGAGCACGGUUUGAAAAACACUGAUGGAGCCCUUUUGAUAGAUGGAAAAACAGAGGCCUGGAGGGGGGAAGGGGGAGAGUCAGACCCUGGGGGCCCUUGUAGUCCCCACUUCCCAAAAUCUGCUACAGGGCCUGGCAGGUGAAAUUGCACUUCACAGUGCCCCCAGCCCACCUGCCCUGGCAGCCCCCUGCUCUCAUUGUCCAGAAGGCCAGGGAGGCGUUGGGGCUCCAUGACUUCCCGUGUAGGACACCCCACAUCUGCAAGUCUCACUCGGCUGCAUCUGCCAAAUGCCCACCUCACAGGGUUGUGAGGAGCGACAGAGAUGACAAUGCGAAGAACAAGAUGGCCAGGCCUAGCAGCUCCCACUCCCUGCGCUCCGACCCGAGGCUGCACAGGCGGGCUCCGAGCGUCGCCUUGGUUAUCGAGACAGAAUUUACCUCCCAUAAAGCUCGCCCAUUUCAAGUGUGUGGUUCAAGGGUUUUCAGUGUAUUUACAGAGUUGUCCAACCAUCACCAUCUAAUUUUAGAUUGUCCCCAAAUCUAAUUUUGUCUAAUAAUGUAAAUUAGAUUGUCUAAAAAAUCUAAUUUUACAUUGUCGCAAGAAGAAAUCCAAUACUCACGAGCAGUCCCUGCCAUUCCUCUUCUCCAGGCCCCGGAAACACCAGUCUACUCUCUACGGAUUUACCGAUUUUGGACAUUUCAUACAAUGAAAUCAUAUAAUAUGCCGGCUUUUGUGACUGACUUCUUUCACCGAGCAAAGUGUCGUAGCGUGUAUCAGUACUUGAUUCUUUUUUACGGCUGGAUAAUAUUCCACCAUAUAGAUACACCAUUUUGUUUAUCCAUUCGUCCACUGAUGGACAUGUGGGUUGUUCCACUCUUUGACUGUUACGAAGAAUGCUGCCAGGAACAUCCCCGCCCAGGUCUUUGCGAGGACGUGUUUCCGUUCCCCUGGGGUGCAUACCUAGGUGGGAACUCCUAGGUCAUAUGGUAACUCUUUAUUUAACAUUUUGAGAAACUGUUCGACUGUUCCCGACGUGGCCGAAUCAUUUUUCGUUCCCACCAGCAGGGCAUGAGGACCUCCAUGUCUCUACGUCCUCACCGACACUGUUACUGUCUUUGUGCGUACAACCGUCCUAGUGGGUGUGAGGUAGUAUCUCGCUGUGGUUUUGAUUUUUAUUUUCCUAAAGACUAAUCACAUUGCCCAUCCUUUCACGUGCUUAUCAGUCAUUCAUAGAUAUUUUCUGGAGAAACGUCUAUUCAAAUGGCAGCAUCUUGUUUAAUCCUCACAAAAACAUCAUGGAUCUCUACUGUUCCCAGCUCCACUGAUGAUAAUGAGAACACUGAGGUUCCGAGGAGCUCCUGAGAGACGGUGGGGAAGGGCUGGCGAGGGUGGGCCACCAUGCUGGGGUACCAAACCGGGAGGAGGGACCUCAUGCGCCACAAAGUUGUGCGGGUGGAGGGCGUGGGUGAUGUGGGCAGGAGGUUGAGGACUGCUGGGGCUGCGGGCUGGAAGACUGAGCCCUGAGUCCUAUUUCUGUCUUCCUCUGUCUUGCUCUGUGACCUUGGGCAAGACACAUCCUACUCUGGGCCUCAGUUUCCCAACUAACAAUGCCUCUAUUCUGCUGUGAGAGCCCAAUUUGGUUCUCUAAGUGAAUUCACUGAAGGCAAGAUGAGGGGCUUGGUGGUUUAGACCCCAGGGGCCCCCACUCUAGUCACUGGCCCACCGGGGCUGGCUGCAGGCGGGGCCUCUGCUCUGGGUCCCCAGCCAGCCUGCCCUCCUGGGCACCCACACGGGCAGGUUGUGGGUCUUCAGGAAGGCCCUGCUCAGGCUGGGGUGGGUGGAGAGCAGCCGGGCAGCUGGUCUGUGGGAAGAGCAUGUCAGUCCCUCGGCGAGCACCUCCUCCCCACUGUCCACCUGCCCGCUUCCACCUGGGGCGUGGGGAGGCAGGAAGCUAAAAAGGGGGCUGGAGCAGGGUCAGGCUGGGGAGGAAGGUAGGCUGAGAGCCCCUCCUCUGGUAAGAAACGGAGCAGACUGGGUCAUUCACUCUCUCAUACAUUCAUCAGUCCGUCAUCCAGCCCUGGGCGCCACCCUUUCACGGCCCUGUGUCUUCCCGAUGGGAGUGCUGAGCACAGUGUGGUCAUUGCCUCGGGAAACUUGCUGAAGGAGAGGACACCAAAGCCUGGGACCUGUGCUGCCACCUGAGCACACCCAGCCUGCCCUCACAGGUCUCCCGGAGGAGCAGGAGAGACAGAGAGACAACCAGUGUAGCACCCACGGCAGCUCCCCGAGUGUUGACGAGAGGCUGGCACUGGCCUAAGGCCCUCGAACAAGCCAAUCCACUAUGCAGCACCCUUAUGGUAAAACCGUCAUUGUCUCCGUUUAUAGAUGGGGAAACUGAGGCUCAGAGAGGAGCAGAGACUGGCUCCAGGGGCCCCAGGGAGUUAGUUGCAGAAGCAGGGGCAGAAACUUGAUGUCCUGCUCCCAGCUCCGGGUUCCUUCCCCACACCACGCCGCCUUCCUUGCUGUUCUGCACCCCACCCUCUAGAAUUCAGAGGGGGUGCUCUGCAACCCCUGCCCCUUUCUUGCAAUAUUUGACCCGUAUUUGAGGAUGGAUGUCAGGUGUGGCUGAAGAGGAACUUGCAGCAGCCGUGGGAACUGGGUUCAAGCUUUCACUCUGCUAUCAAGAUGCUGUGUGACUUGGGCAAGGCCCCCAACCUCUCUGGUUCCAGCUUCCUCAUUGGUCAGCCAGAAGGCUGGACCGGAUGCUUUUGAAGGGCUCUUGGCAGGGGCUGUAUCUUAGGGCAGCUCCGGAGAGUGUGGGGUGGCUCAGGGUGGGCUCCCUGGGGGAAGUACAAGGCUUGGGGGAGGAUGGCUGCAGCCUACAGGUCACUUUCCAGGGGACACUGGAGAUUUGUCCCCCUCCCCACCAGCUCUGGCUCGGCUUAUCAUCCACUUGUCUUGGGCGGCUCUUCCGAGUGGCAUCUCGGGUUUCAGCUCAGAAUCUGUGAUACUGGGGUCGUGGGAGACGCAGGGGCAGGUGGGUGGCCCGCUGCUAGCAGAGCUGUGGGCAACCCGUCUCUCCCGGGUUAUCUCUGGGCUGGGAUAGGCUGGAAAGUGAGAAGCUGCCUUAUCUCCUCCACUUCCCUCCGGAGACAGGGCUGCCUCAAAGCCCUCUUGUUCGGCCCCCCAUGCCCACUGGCCCCCUGGGAGGUGGGGGCACCAGUGCAGCACUGAGGCCGUGGGGGGGCAGCAAGAAGUGAGACCCAGUGGACCGAGCACCAGGCGGGGGCAAGGGGCCACAAGGGUUUCAAACCCCCCAUUCACUCCCUCACCAUACACUUGAACACCUACUGUGUGCCAGAGCAGAGGCGAGAUUUAAACUAGCUCACACCCAGUGUGGCCCAGGCCCUGGCCAGUCAGGUGACCAGGGAGCGCAGGUCCAGGGAUCCCCUGCUGGGCCAGGUGGCUCAUGAGGAGGACUGGGGGCUCCGGGGGGGGGGCCAGGCAGCAUGGGGGGCAUUGGAGGCCUGGAGCCGAGGCUGGUUACCGGGUGACAUGCAAGGCCUCCCAGAGACCCACACCUGCAGGGUCACGGUGUGGACGGGGGGCAGAGCGCCCCCUCGGUGGGUGUGGCCUUGCGCUCCGUGUGUAAGUGGGUCUGGGGGUGGCUUGUUCUGCACAGGCAGCUGAGCUGGAAGCUUGCCCCUCUGUGUCCGUGGCUGCACACUGUGCUGGCGCAAAUUAGGGGGACCUGACGAAAUUGCUGCUGUGUGACCAUUUUCGACAAAAAGAGCCAUUUCCGUGGAACUCGUGACCAUGUCCCCUCGCAGGGCAAAAGGGACUUUGUGGAUGUCAUUAAGUUCAGGAUCUUGAGGUGGGAGGUUUGCCUGGAUUAUCCGGGCGGGCCUGGUGUCAUCACAAGGGUCUUUCUCAGAGGCAGACAAACUGACCUGUACACUUAAAAACAAUGGGUAAAAUGGCAAAAGUUGUGUUAGAUAUAUUUUCCUACAAUUUUAGAAAAUUAAUAACGUAAUAAACCCCAAAUCAUUACACUGCACACUUUAAAUGGGUGAAUUGUAUGGUACGUGAAUUAUAUCUCAAUAAAACUGUUAAAAAAAAA